rnacentral:rRNA from 1 species
UUGGAUAACCUUUGGAAACGAUGGCUAAUACCGCAUGAUGCCUACGGGCCAAAGAGGGGGACCUUCGGGCCUCUCGCGUCAGGAUAUGCCUAGGUGGGAUUAGCUAGUUGGUGAGGUAAGGGCUCACCAAGGCGACGAUCCCUAGCUGGUCUGAGAGGAUGAUCAGCCACACUGGAACUGAGACACGGUCCAGACUCCUACGGGAGGCAGCAGUGGGGAAUAUUGCACAAUGGGCGCAAGCCUGAUGCAGCCAUGCCGCGUGUAUGAAGAAGGCCUUCGGGUUGUAAAGUACUUUCAGUCGUGAGGAAGGCGGUGUCGUUAAUAGCGGCGUUGUUUGACGUUAGCGACAGAAGAAGCACCGGCUAACUCCGUGCCAGCAGCCGCGGUAAUACGGAGGGUGCGAGCGUUAAUCGGAAUUACUGGGCGUAAAGCGCAUGCAGGUGGUUUGUUAAGUCAGAUGUGAAAGCCCGGGGCUCAACCUCGGAAUAGCAUUUGAAACUGGCAGACUAGAGUAUUGUAGAGGGUGGUAGAAUUUCAGGUGUA